AAAAAGAUAAGCUAAACAAGCUAAUGGGUUCAUACCCCGUAUAUAAAGGUUUAAGUCCUUUUCUUUUUA
rnacentral:tRNA from 1 species